rnacentral:rRNA from 1 species
AAUGAACGCUGGCGGCGUGCCUAACACAUGCAAGUCGAACGAACAGAUCAGGAGCUUGCUCCCCUGACGUUAGCGGCGGACGGGAGAUUCACACGUGUAUCACAUACCUCUAAGACUGGGAUGAUUACGGCAAAUCGUAGCUUAUACCGUAUAAUAUAUUGCACCGGAUGGUUCAUUAGUUAAAGACGGUUUUGCGGUCUGUAAUAGAUGAAUCCGGGCCGCAUUAGCUAGUUGGUAAGGAAACGGCUUACCAAGGCUACGAUGCGUAGCCGACCUGAGAGGGUGAUCCGCCACACUGGAACUGAGACACGGUCCAGACGCCUACGGGAGGCAGCAGUGGGGAAUCUUGCGCAAUGGGCGAAAGCCUGACAGAGCAACGCCGCGUGAGUGAUGAAGGCCUUCGGAUCGUAAAGCUCUGUUGUUAGGGAAGAACAAAAGUGGAUUUAUACGGGCUGGUCUUGACGGUACCUAAAGAAUAAGCCCCGGCUAACUACGUG